UUUAGGGUGGAAUCACAGCCCGGGAGGAAUUUUGGCACCCCGAGGUGAACAUUGGGCAUAGAGCCCUCCCAGAGGCAUUUUGUGUCCUUCUGCCCAUCUCCAGGAGAAAGGAAUAGCAGACACAAGGGACCUGUGGAAGAAGAAGGUAGGUGCAUUGGCAUAUCCCAAAAUUCCAUCCCUUCCUGGCCUGGAUUAAGGAUGGGAGCAGAGUUCUUUAUCAAGCCAUUCCAGGAUUCCAUGAUCCUGUUAUUCCUCAUACUCUCGGGCUUUGGCCCCAAAGGAAAUGGGAGCAGUGUGUGCAGGCAACAUUCCCUCCAUUCCCAGAGAGCAAGUCCCCAGAGCAGCAGGCAGGAAGGGGAAGGUUGGAGAAGCUGGAUUUCCUUUUCCACCUCUGCUCUGCUCCUUGGAGCACAGGGAGCUGCAGGAUGAAGGCAAAGCACCCAGAGCCAGAACCCAGGAAUGACCGAGGCUGGGACAUGAUCCCAGGGAUGAUUCCACUUAAACUCCGUGUCUGCCUG